CUUGCAGAACGAGGUGCAGGAGGUGGUUCUGCUCGGCACUCAACAGCGGCCACAUCUCCACCUGCAGCCACUUGACGGCCCUCCGUGUCCCUUUCGUGGG
rnacentral:pre_miRNA from 1 species